GACGAAGGGGGCUAGCGUUGUUCGGAAUUACUGGGCGUAAAGCGCACGUAGGCGGCUUUGUAAGUAAGAGGUGAAAGCCCAGAGCUCAACUCUGGAAUUGCCUUUUAGACUGCAUCGCUUGAAUCAUGGAGAGGUCAGUGGAAUUCCGAGUGUAGAGGUGAAAUUCGUAGAUAUUCGGAAGAACACCAGUGGCGAAGGCGGCUGACUGGACAUGUAUUGACGCUGAGGUGCGAAAGCGUGGGGAGCAAACAGG
rnacentral:rRNA from 1 species